AAUCAACGCUGGCGGCGUGCCUCAGACAUGCAAGUCGAACGAGAAAGUUUCCUUCGGGGAAUGAGUAAAGUGGCGCACGGGUGAGUAACACGUAGGUAAUCUACCUUCGGGUGGGGAAUAACCCAGGGAACUUGGGCUAACACCGCAUAAUGCAGCGGCACCACAUGGUGACAGUUGUUAAAGCGGGGGAUUUUAGGGCCUCGCGCCUGAAGAGGAGCCUGCGGCGGAUUAGCUAGUUGGNGAGGUAAUGGCUCACCAAGGCUUCGAUCUGUAGCUGGUCUGAGA
rnacentral:rRNA from 1 species